AUAUUUGGCCAUUGGCGCAAGCCUGGACCAACCAUUCCGCGGGAUAGAUUAAAGGCCUACGGGUUUUAAAGUCUUUUUGCCAGAGAGGAAAUGACGCUAACUAAUACAAGAUACUCCGCACGCUACCUGCAGAAUACCCCCCGACUACGUACGUGGCAACAGCCGCGGGAAUACGAAGGGUGCAAGCGUUAAUCGGAAUUACUGGGCGUAAAGCGCACGUAGGCGGAUUGGAAAGAUAGGGGUGAAAUCCCAGGGCUCAACCCUGGAACUGCAUUUUAUACUGCCGGGCUAGAGUAUGAGAGAGGGGGGUAGAAUUCCGCGUGUAGCAGUGAAAUGCGUAGAUAUUUGGAGGAAUACCGGUGGCGAAGGCAGCCCCCUGGGAUGAUACUGACGCUGAGGUGCGAAAGCGUGGGGAGCAAACA
rnacentral:rRNA from 1 species